CUCAAAAUGACCAUACUUCAACAGCUAUUACGACUAACAUAUUCAUGCGUAUAUUUUUAUACUUUUAACAUGAUUAUAAGACAGCAAUGCUUCUGUAAUUACUGGAUAAUAACGUUAAACUUACCCGGAAACUGCCCGAGAAUGUUAAUUCACUUUUAUUGUUUCUUCUUUUCUUCGAUUUAUGCUUUCUUUGACGAUAAAUAAGUUCUUUUGAAAUCGCUUCUUAUAUUUUCUUGACUGCAUUGGCAUUUGGCAGCAUGGCGUGUUCAUG